AUCGCUUCUUGGCCCUUUUGGCUAAGAUCAAAUGUAAUAUUUAUUCUCAUCAGUUUAAGAUUUGAUACAUCCUCUAUCUGGAGACAAUAUGUGAAAUGGAUUUUUGGAGCAGAGAGUUGGAAUAGAGGCUUGCUCUUUCCUCCAAACAUCAGCCUAGGUGUUUGCACCGUCCCUCAUUAAACAGUUGUUGAAAAGGAAA
rfam:Erinaceus europaeus unplaced genomic scaffold scaffold00002, whole genome shotgun sequence